CCUACGGGUGGCAGCAGUGAGGAAUAUUGGUCAAUGGACGAGAGUCUGAACCAGCCAAGUAGCGUGAAGGAUGACUGCCCUAUGGGUUGUAAACUUCUUUUAUAUGGGAAUAAAACGUUCCAUGGGUGGGCUUUUGUAUGUACCAUAUGAAUAAGGAUCGGCUAACUCCGUGCCAGCAGCCGCGGUAAUACGGAGGAUCCGAGCGUUAUCCGGAUUUAUUGGGUUUAAAGGGUGCGUAGGUGGAUUGUUAAGUCAGUUGUGAAAGUGCGCGGCUCAACCGUAAGAUUGCAGUUGAAACUGGCAGUCUUGAGUACAGGAGAGGUGGGCGGAAUGCGUGGUGUAGCGGUGAAAUGCUUAGAUAUCGCGAAGAACUCCGAUUGCGAAGGCAGCUCACUGGACUGCAACUGACACUGAGGCUCGAAAGUGUGGGUAUCAAACAGGAUUAGAUACCCUUGUAGUC
rnacentral:rRNA from 1 species